rnacentral:rRNA from 1 species
GUGUUAAUCUUCCCAGGGGAACCUGGCCCUUAAUUCGAUGAUCCACGAAUCUCUUACCUUCUCUUGUGCUAUUUGGGCCGCCUAAGUCAAGGUGGCCCUAUGGCGAGCAGUUUGCAUACCGCCGUUGUGCAGCCUAUACUGUAAAGGGGAAGAAAUAGGCGACGCAGUAGUUUGGGCUGACAAAUUACUACUAAUUCAGGUAAACGUGCAGCCUAUGAGAGGGGGUUGCUGGGUUACAAUUUAGGUUUUUACUAGAGCUGCGAACUGAGGAAUGCGGUGAAAGAGGACUUGGAAGUAAUAGUCUUUAAGGAAGAGGCUGUGAAUAAGGCUCUAGCACGUGU